rnacentral:tRNA from 1 species
GCCCUUGUUGCGCAGUCGGUUAGUGAGUCAGUCUUGCAAUCUGAAGGUAGUUAGUUCAAGUCUCACCUGGGGCA